AGGGCCACAUCACGUUGAAACACUGGUUCUCGUAUGAUCAUCGAAGUUAAGCAACGUCGGGCCUGAACAGUACCUAGAUGGGUGACCACUUGAGAAUACCAGGUGCUGUAGG